UUCAUUUUCCCUACCCACACACUCCAUCAGCCUCACCACGGUUUUUCUCCAUUUCCUCUCCAUACUACCACACCUAAAACCCACAACAACAUUCUCCUUUGCCUUGUUAUCAUCGACAAGGAGGGAGAGAGAGCUGUACUCUGCAAGCCGAGAGGAAAGAAAAGAAAGGAAGCCGCGCGAGCUGCAACCUUUAUGUUCUGUCCGAGCAAGUUAAGUGAGAGAGAUAGAGAGAGA
rnacentral:lncRNA from 1 species